rnacentral:rRNA from 1 species
UACGGGGGGGGCAAGCGUUGUUCGGAAUUACUGGGCGUAAAGGGCUCGUAGGCGGCCAACUAAGUCAGACGUGAAAUCCCUCGGCUUAACCGGGGAACUGCGUCUGAUACUGGAUGGCUUGAGUUUGGGAGAGGGAUGCGGAAUUCCAGGUGUAGCGGUGAAAUGCGUAGAUAUCGGGAGGAACACCUAUGGCGAAGGCAGCUCGCUGGGACGUUACUGACGCUGAGACGCGAAAGCGUGGGGAGCAAACAGG